rnacentral:ncRNA from 1 species
UNAUAUACUUUGAAUGUUCAGAACAGCAGGCCUGAAAAGGGUGAAACCUGCUAGUCUGCUUUGCAUAAGCAAAGCCGGCAAGACCAUCAAAUUGCCUGGAAAACUCGUGAAGACAGUGGUACCGCUCUCUAGCUGAAAAGCUAGGGCAGCACCAAGGCGAAAGUCAUGGGUAUGGUAACAAUCCACUGUGCUUGAGUUAAUAGGCAGCCAAGUCCUGAUGGCAACUAGCCUACGGAUGCAGUUCACAGACUAAAUGUUGGUCGGUUCUUGCCUAUGGGCAAGGGCUUAAGAUAUAGUCGGCCCGCACCUCAAGGUGAGC